UACGUAGGGUCCGAGCGUUGUCCGGAAUUACUGGGCGUAAAGAGCUCGUAGGUGGUUUGUCACGUUGUUCGUGAAAACUCACAGCUCAACUGUGGGCGUGCGGGCGAUACGGGCAGACUAGAGUACUGCAGGGGAGACUGGAAUUCCUGGUGAUAGCGGUGGAAUGCGCAGAUAUCAGGAGGAACACCGGUGGCGAAGGCGGUUCUCUGGGCCUGAUCUGACGCUGGAGGAGCGAAAGGCGUGGGGAGCGAAACAGG
rnacentral:rRNA from 1 species